GAUGAACGCUGGCGGCAUGCCUAAUACAUGCAAGUCGAACGAGAGGAAGGAAAGCUUGCUUUCCUGAAUCUAGUGGCGAACGGGUGAGUAACACGUAGGUAACCUGCCCAUGUGCCCGGGAUAACUUCUGGAAACGGAUGCUAAAACCGGAUAGGUAGCAGACAAGCAUUUGACUGCUAUUAAAGUGGCCUUGGCCAUGAACAUGGAUGGACCUGCGGUGCAUUAGCUGGUUGGUGAGGUAACGGCCCACCAAGGCGACGAUGCAUAGCCGGCCUGAGAGGGCGGACGGCCACAUUGGGACUGAGACACGGCCCAAACUCCUACGGGAGGCAGCAGUAGGGAAUUUUCGUCAAUGGGGGGAACCCUGAACGAGCAAUGCCGCGUGAGUGAGGAAGGUCUUCGGAUCGUAAAGCUCUGUUGUAAGAGAAAAACGGCACUCAUAGGGAAUGAUGAGUGAGUGAUGGUAUCUUACCAGAAAGU
rnacentral:rRNA from 1 species